rnacentral:rRNA from 1 species
GACGAACGCUGGCGGCGUGCUUAACACAUGCAAGUCGAACGGAAAGGCCCUGCUUUUGUGGGGUGCUCGAGUGGCGAACGGGUGAGUAACACGUGAGUAACCUGCCCUUGACUUUGGGAUAACUUCAGGAAACUGGGGCUAAUACCGGAUAGGAGCUCCUGCUGCAUGGUGGGGGUUGGAAAGUUUCGGCGGUUGGGGAUGGACUCGCGGCUUAUCAGCUUGUUGGUGGGGUAGUGGCUUACCAAGGCUUUGACGGGUAGCCGGCCUGAGAGGGUGACCGGCCACAUUGGGACUGAGAUACGGCCCAGAAUCCUACGGGAGGCAGCAGUGGGGAUUAUUGCACAAUGGGCGGAAGCCUGAUGCAGCAACGCCGCGUGCGGGAUGACGGCCUUCGGGUUGUAAACCGCUUUCGCCUGUGACGAAGCGUGAGUGACGGUAAUGGGUAAAGAAGCGCCGGCUAACUACGUG